rnacentral:tRNA from 1 species
AGGGGUGUCGCCAAGUGGUAAGGCACAUGACUUUGACUCAUGUAUUCGCAGGUUCAAAUCCUGCCACCUCUG